AUCCCAAUCCGACUGGACUGCAUGAUGUUAUAUAACGUAUAUGAAGUUCACCUAUGACUCCGCCGCUCCGGUGUAAUUACGACCUGUAAAAUUUAAUUGGACCACCUGCAUAUGCCAACUUUUGCAAUUUAACUGUACUUAACGUAAUAGGGCCAAAAUUAUUUGAUGCAAAAUGUCGAUUUUUGGGUUAUUGAUUAAACUUGUCAAGUUGUUAAGUCUACGGAGAGAUGUUAAACAGGCGAUUAAAAACAAUAUGACUUUUCAAAGGUUUUCGGAUUUUUAGGAAAGCUGCAAACCGUUGGUUAGUGGUACCAAAAACCUGAUUACACCGUUGAAAUAAUAAGGAAAAAUGAGCUGAAAAUUAGUGCUGAUGGGUUUAUUUUAAUUUUUAAGAAAGUGAUCAUUUUCAGUCGUAGCAAAAACUACAUUUUACCAUUAAAUUUGUGCGAAAAAAUUAACUGAAAAAAAGCACCAUA